rnacentral:lncRNA from 1 species
CCCUUCUUGACCACCAGGGUCCCUUCUUAGCCACAUAGGGUCCCCUUCUUGGCCACCUAGGGUGCCUUCCUGGCCACCUAGGGUCCCCUCUUGGCCACCUAGUGCCCUUCUUGGCCACCUGGGGUCCCCUCCUGGCCACCUGGGGUCCCCUCUUGGCCACCUGGGGUCCCUUCUUGGCCACCUAGGGUAUCUUCCUGGCCACCUAGGGUCCCCUUUUUGGCCACCUGUAUCCCUUCUUGGCUACCUGGGUCCCCUCCUGGCCACCUGGGCCCCUUCUUAGCCACCUGAGUCCCUUCUUGGCCACCUGGGUCCCUUCUUGACCAUCUAGGGUCCUCUCCUGGCCACCUGGGGUCCCCUCUUGACCACCUGGGGUGCCUUCCUGGCCACCUGGAGCCCCCUCUUGGCCACCUGGGUCCCAUCCUGGCCACCUGGGGUCCCCUUUUUGGCCACCAGGGUCCCCUUCUUGGCCACCUAGGGUGCCCUCCUGGCCACCUGGUGUCCCUUCUUGGCCACCUGGGCCCCUUCUUGGCCACCUGGGGUCCCUUCUUGGCCACCUGGGGUCCCCUCUUGGCCAUCUGGGCCCCUUUUUGGCCACCUGGGUCCCUUCCGCAGACACCUGGGGUCCCAUCCUGGCCACCUGGGUCCCCUCUUGGCCACCUGGGUCCCUUUUUGGCCACCUGGGCCCCUUCUUGGCCACCUAGGGUCCCCUUCUGGCCACCUGGGGUCCCCUCCUGGCCACCUAGGCCCCUUCCUGGCCACCUGGGUCCCUUCCCCACACAUCUGGGGUCCCUUCUUGGCCACCUGGGUCCCCUCCUGGCCACCUGGGUCUCCUCUUGGCUACCUGGACCCCUUCUUGGCCACCUGGGGUCCCUUCUUGGCCACCUGGGGUCCCCUCCUGGCCACCUGGGCCCCUUCUUAUCCACCUGGGGUCCCCUCCUGGCCACCUGGGGUCCCCUCUUGGCCAUCUGGGCCCCUUUUUGGCCACCUGGGUCCCUUCCCCACACACCUGAGGUCCCAUCCCCAUUGUGGAGCUCUAAGCCUGAAGGAUUUUGGGGAGGGGGGGUCCCCCCACUUGCCCCCCUCUGGGUGGGGGUGCCCCUCACUGACUCCCCGUGUCAUGUGUGUCCCCCCCCCUCCCUCGGUGACAGUGGUGGCACCGGAGCGACAGUGGCAUGUGGCACAGGAGAACGUGGUCCUGCAGCACCCCCACAUGCA